CAAAAAAAAAAAAAAACUACACAGCCUGAUCGAUGGGCUCUACCAUUUCGCUACCAUAUGUAUCAAAAGGGUAAGUGAAUAGAUUUAAUACUACUUCAAGAUCUUGCUUUGAUUAAUUUUGAAAUGAUUGAAGGGUUGAGAAUUAUGACAACGACAGCUGAAUUCUAAAUUCCUUUUUAAAAAACAUAUUGUUUUGCUUACUGUCAGAUUUUCUUUAGCAUUUCCUGUAUUUUCCUAUUAUAUAUUGAGCGAAAUCUGUCUCCACCAAAACAACGAUAUCUUUUUUUUCUUUUGAAAGUUAUAUGUUGUACUAUGUAAAAUGGAUUCAAAUACUUUGGAUGAUCAUACCCACAGAUGAGUUAACAAAUUCAUUUUGCCAAUUCACAUUUUGCAGCUUCUAAUGCCUGAUCAGGGAGGUGCGACAUGAAUAUGAUAGCUGUGGAUCAAUAAAAUUUUGCGAGUGGUGCCAUAAAGAAAGUUGCAUGACUUGGUCUAACAAUACAACAGAUUACAGACACCAUUUAUUUACUGGAAUUAUUGGAGAAAAUUUCAAAGGGGGAUAAAACAGCGUGUACAUGUCGUGGUUUCAAGUUAACUGGUUAAUUUCAUGUUUGCAUGGUCAACUAUGUCUGAAAACAUCUUUACAAAAAACAAUGUCCCUAAAAGGGACUAAAGCAACAUUUUAACCGCACGUUAGGAUGCUUUUUCUUUCUUUCUUUUUUUUGUGUGUAAAUGUACAUACGUGCUGCCGUGUCGAUCACCUCCUAGCUAGAGUCCUACUGGAUCGAAUCUCAAUCUGAAUAUCUGGUGGAUGAUAUAAUUCAAUCGAUCAGCUGCAUGCACUUCCGCAACGAUGCUAAAAACUAGAGAAGAAUAAUAAGUAAAUAUGAACAAGAAGCGACUAAUGUAAAUUUCAAAACAUAUAUACAACAUUUCACGCUCCUCAAAUUUUGUAAAUCCAAAAACAAAGCAGAGUUUACAAGGCUCACCGGAAAACGACUGCUAUUUACUCUCCAAGUCCGUUUCCGGGCCAGGCGCUCGCGCAUCGAGCUGCUCUGGCGGCGCCGACGCGGCACGCGACGUUGACGACGCGCCCACCAUUUCACCCUUCAGCAUCUCAACCGGCACGACGACGGACAUAGACACGCGUGGCCCGACGAGGUCGGGCGUCACCGCUAUGCGCGCGACUAUGGCGUCGGCGAGCUCGUCGGCCGGCGCGGCCUUCCCGCGGCACACCGGGCACGAGGCGCGGGACGAGAGCCACAUGUCGAUGCACUCCCGGUGGAACACGUGCCCGCACGCCGGGAGCUGCCUCACCGUCUCCCCCUCGUCGACGGCGCUGAGGCACACCGCGCACUCCACCGACGACGACGACGCCGAGUCCGAGACCUCGCCGUCGUCACGGGCUCGCACGUACGGGAACGACGGGAGGCGCGCGAUGGCGGCGGCGUCUAGGCCGAACCUAGGCGGCGUCGGCCGCCGCUGCUCCUGCUCCAUGACCAGGGGACGAUCACGCCGGCGACGAGCAACGCGGAGUGCUCGAAGGCAGAUGAAGAUGGUGAUGAGGAAGAAGCUCAGGGCGAACGACGCGGCCAACGCGCCGAACAACGUCGUGGUGCUGCAGCAUCCGGAGUUGCCGCCGCCGCCGCCGCCGGCCGCCUCUCCUCCCGGCAAGUAUGUCGUCGUGCCAUUUGACGACGACAUGGUGGUGGUGGUGGAAGGAAGGGACUUUUGUGACUUGUGAGACCGUGAACUUAGUAACGAACCGUAUAUAAUGUUGACCUUCGUUUCUUUUCUGUUUAAACGAGAAGACGACGUGUGUGCUGAGCUGGCGCUUGGAUUGCCACGUUGUCGCUUGGUUUGGACCAGCUAGGCCCUUGUUUGUUUGGCCCAAGUUGGCGGCCCGCCUAGCAGUACGGUCCGGCCUGCGUUCGCAUGGGCCCGUCCCACAGGUUUCAGUUAGCCCAUUUCCCAGUUUUACCUUUUCCUAUGAUGAUGAUAGCGGUCAGCUCCGUUACAGUAUUUUCCGUUCCGUUGACAGUUUUUCGGUACCUUUAUUACUGGUGUGAAAGCGAAUAAAUGUUUGCUAUAGUUAGUAAAUACAGAUAUGGAAUGAGGUGAAUUUAUUUGCUUGCUAUUGAUUUUACGCGUCUUUUUUUUUACCGCGUCUGGCUGUGAUUGGUAACGGGCGUUUUCGUCCUCAUCCAAGCUCUGUAUCUAAAACUGUAUACGUACAAGAUUAUAUUAUUAUAUACCCUAUAAAAAGGCAGAAGAAAACGUACGCGGUUAUCCUCAAAAAAGAGGGGGUUAAAGACGGAGGGGAAUUACGGUACAAUGCAGACGCUUCUAUUGUACGCAAUUAUCUAGUAACUGCUACAAAAAUGUUGACUUGGCGUUGCAAGAUUGAAACGGCUUACUGGAAGAUAAAAAUGAGCUAGUUUGUGCCGGCUAAAAUUCGUCUGAAAUGCAUAUGACACGUUGGAAUCACACAGGCAGAACGAAAUGUGGCCUCCUAUUUUGUACAACACGCUGGAAGUAUUGCUUGUGGAAAAUAAUCUUCUAUGAAAAUUUUGUGUAUUGAAUGGGGACACUGGUAGGAUUUAGGCUGUGUUCGCUAGUCCACGUUCCUAACCGGAACAGUUCGUGCAGAAAACGAAGCGGUCCAUUAGCGCGUGAUUAAUUAAGUAUUAGCUAAUUUUUUUUAAAAAAAUGAAUUAAUUUGAUUUUUUAAGCAAUUUUCGUAUAGAAAUUUUUUGCAAAAAAGCAACAUUAAGCAGUUUGAAAAGCGUGCAAGCGGAAAACGAGGAAGAGUCGUUCAGAAAAGGGGUGCCGAAAAUAGCCUUAGGUUGCUUGGAAGAGAACUAUUAUUAGAAAAAAAAAGAAUAACUUUUAGUAUUGUGGCAACUUAAAUGGAAUAACUUUACUAUGUACCAUGUCUUUACGAUGUUGAAGCGCCACAUUAUAUUAACGUGGGACCAUAGUUAUAGUUCAACUAAUCAUUAUACGAAACCGUUGGCUUUAGACAUAACGGACUAUUCUUAAUAAUUAGUUGCACCCACAUCAUUCAAAUAGUAUUAUGUCUUUGCCCGGGAAACCCGGCCCGACCUAAUGCUGCUAGGUGAACUUAGGGUUUAAGCGGGGAGCUACAAUUUUACGUUGAUUUCUUCAUAGAAAAUAGAGUUUUCUUAGCACACUUGGUUGAUCCAUACUGUGAUGAAUUUUGAGUGGUUUAGUGUGCUCAUAGGGUGAAACAUUGUAAUGUUUUCUUAUUGAACUUAUACAUAAUGCUACUAUUCGUUAGAACCAAUUUUCACUGACAAAUGGACCCACCAUACCCAUGUAAAAGGAUGACCAUCCUGUCAGUGACAAUUGGUAGGAUUUCUAUAGUUUGCAUGUUUAUCAAAAACACAUUGGAUAAAAUCUUCUUAUUAUGACACCCCUCAUUUCCCUAUAUAAGAAGGCGGCCUCCCCCUCUUUGUUCUUCAUCGAGCUCAUUCUUGCUAUAGCCACAUAUACCUCUUAAGAAAUCAUUUAGUAGUUUCUUCCAUCUCCUUUCGGAUGCCUGUCUCACCAUGACUGGUCUCCAACAAGGUGGCAAGAUGUUUGUAGCUCUCGCUUAAUGGUUUCCUUCUCCACCAGAGAUCUCUGUAAUCUCCCUAGCUAAGGUAAACAUCCUGUUCUCCAUUAGAGGAGAUGCAUGUUUUCUUCGACAUGAUUCAUAUCUAUGCAUAGCUAUAUGAACGUAUUUAAUUUUAGAUGCAGGUCUUCAUUAACCCAUUUUUUAAAAAGGCGACAAAAGAUUUACCGUGUUUGUAUUGAUAGAGUAGUGGAGCUAUAUGGACGUAGUUAAUUUUAGAUGUUCACUAACAUUUUUUUAAAGAGGCGACAAAAGUUUUACCGUGUUUGUAUUAAUAGAGCAGUGAACGAUUGCGGUAAAAUAUAUAUAUAUACACAGGCCAUCCGCCAUCAAGUAUCAUGCCCGUAAAAUGAUUAAAAAAAAUCAGGAGUUAUCUCCUAACGAAGGAAACUCACGGAGCUUCGCAGCUCCAGCUUACCCAAGUAGCCACAUCUUCCUUAAUUUUGAUAAUGAUGCUCUUCUUUAACAUGAAUCAUAUGUAUGCUUAGCCAUAUGUCCAUAGUUUAUUUUUUAACAAAAAUGGUAGAUGCAUCUAUAUAAUUAUGUAUAUACUAGCUAUUUGGAACCACUUAACAUUAAAAGCAAUUAAAUCCAGAAACAAGAGUGUAGAUCUAGCUAUAAUUUUUUUUCCAGAUCUAGCUAUGUUUAUAUUUUUUAGAUCUAGCUUAUAUGUCUAUCACUAUAAACUAAUCUUUUAUUAAAUUUCCAUUUUAGGGUUCGCCUCUCUCACAAAAUCUCUUUUUGGUAUAAACCUCCAUCGAUCCCCUCAUCGCCGAUCAUGCCGAGGAGGGCGAGGAGGACCGGCGCGGCGUACGUCGACGACGAGAGGGAGCGCGACAUCACCUUCUUCAAGCGGCGGAACGGGCUGUUCAAGUGCGCCAGCGACCUCUCCAUCCUCACCGGCGCUAGCGUCGCCGUGGUCAUCGAGGACCAGAACCGCAGCAAGUUCCACGCGGUCGGGACGCCGACGGUGCAGGCCGUCGUCGACGCCGCCCUCUCAAGCGACGUGGAGGAGGCGGCGGCUGAGGCGCGGCCGGUCGCCGACGAGCAGCUGAUGGAGAGGAUCGCGCCGCUGGAGAGGGAGCUGGCUUGGCUGAAGGGUGAAGCUGCCGAGAAGGAUGAGACGACGAAAGCAUCCAAAGCUCGGUUCAAGAUGGCCCAGAAGAAGGAGGAGAACGAAGAGGAGGGUGACACGAAGAAGAAGAAGCUCUUCUUCUCCAAGGCCGACAAGCUCAGCUCAGACGAGAUGAAUGAACUGUUAGCUGAGAUGCUUGAGAUCAAGAAGGAACUCAACGUGCGGCUACCCCCGCUACGUCGUCGCGGUGGCAAGCGGCCAAUCCAGGGCUCUAGCGUGCCACCUCCACCGCCGCCGCCGCCACCACCGCCGCAGCCGGAGCAACAGCUGCAGCUGCCGCAAUGGCCGAAUCUGUCCGGUCCUCAUAACCAGUUGCUUCCUGUGGCGCCGCCGCCAUUUGUCGCUGAUCAGCCACCUCCACCUCCACCGCCAGCAGCAGGAGGGUCUCUCUGGAUCCCUGAGCUGCCUCCACCUCCGGUGGAGGGGUCGCCAUGGGCUGGUCUGCUUCCGCUGCGACCACCACGGUUUGCCGGGAUGGAGCCAUCCUUUCUUGAAUCACAGCAAGCUCCGCCUCCGGCACAGGUCAGCACACAGCUAGCACCACUACCUCUGAUACGGGAGGAAGCUCCAUUGCUGCAGGAGCCAUUUCUGUUUGCUGAUCAAGCACCAGUACUUGCUCCUCUGCCGGCGCCAUUGCAGAUGCCUGUGGCAGAAACUCACUUGCCACUGCAGGCUCCAUUGCUGCAGGAGCCAUUUCUAUUCUCUGAUCAUGCACCGACGCUUGCUCCUCUGCCAUCGCCAUUGCAGAUGCCUGUGGCUGAAACUCACCUGCCACUGCAAGUGCAGGCUCCGUUCAUGCAAGAACCAUUUCUGUUUUCUGAUCAGGCACCAGUGCUUGCUCCUCCGCCGACGCCAUUGCAGAUGCCAGUGGAAGCUCACAUGCCACUGGAGGCUCCAUGGAUCCAAGAACCAUUUCUCAUGCCUGAUCAAGCACCGGUCCAUGCUCCUCCACCAACGCCAUUGCUGAUGCCAGUGGGAGCUGAUCACUUCCCACUCGAGGCUCCAUUGUUCCAAGAAUCACUUAUAAUGGCUGAUCAGAAAUCUGUGCAUGCUCUUCCUCCACCUCCAUUGCAGAUGCCUUUGGAAGCUCACCUGCCACCUGCAGCACAAGAGUAUAACCAAGAUCUGGCCGUGCAGCAGCAACCCCAAGAGUAUGAAAACUAUGACUACAUGUUUGAGAACGUGGGGCUCUCACAGGCACAGCCGGUGGCCGCUGGCGCCGGCGACGCAGGCUUUGCAGCUAUAGGCAACGACGACAACCCGUUCGGCUACCAACAGUUGGUUGCCUCUCCUCUCUAUGAUGGACAGAUCUACUUCGGCUCCGGGGUUGAUAACAUGGGCGUUCCUCCUGCUGGUGAUUUUGGUGGUGUUCCUGAAGCUGCUUUGCCGGAAGUCGAGCAUGCGUCUUCGUCCGGUUGGGGAAACAACAUUACUGGUGAUGCUGGUGCAUGGUUCUGAGGAACUAGGAACCGACUGUCUGUCUGUCUGUCUGUCUGUCUGUCUCUUCUUAGAUAGCAUUUUGGAAAAUGCUGAUGUGUCUCGAUAAUUGAGCUUAUUUAGUUAGGCCUCUUGGAGGCAAAAUAAUAUUUGUUUGUCGAGGCAAUGAGAAUAAUAUAUGUGUUUUAUUGAUGUUGAUGAAUUUUAGUAUAGUUGGCCAUGUGGGCCGCCCGGCACGGCACGGCCCAGGCCCGGCCGUGCCUGGGCCGAGGCUUGUCGGGCCGGCACGGCCCGACCGACGCACCGGGCCGUGCCGUGCCAGCCCACGUGCCGCACUCACGGCCCAGGCACGGCCCAACACGCCUCGGGCCGUGCCGGGCCGGCCCGAAGGCACGAUGGGCCGUCGUGCUUUUCCUCAGAAUAAGUCUAAAUUUCCUCCCUCCUAUUGGCUGUGACAUAUGUACAGCUACAAAAAGUCUAUUUUACCUCCCUCUUCUUUGGGCUGGGGUAUAUAAAUAGCUAAAAUAAGUCUAUUUAAGGUCCCUAUUCUUUAGACAGUUACAUUUAUAUGUCUAUUUUUAGUCCCCAUACUUUAUGUACCGGGCCUGGCCUGCCGGCCCAUCGUGCCGGGCCGGCCCGACCGUGCCGGGCCAGCCCAGCGUGCCGGUGGGGAGGCCCAGGCACGGCCCGACGGUCGGGCCGGGCCAGCACGGGCCCGACCCAAGUCGGGCCGUGCCGUGCUUGGGCCGGGCCAAAAAGGCGUGCCGUGGGCCGGGCCUUCGGGCCUCGGGCCUUAUGGCCAACUAUAAAUUUUAGACUCGUGGCAAAAUAAUAUUUGUUUGUUGAGGCAAUGCGAAUAAUAUAUGUGGUUUUAUUGAUUUUGAUGAAUUUUAGGCUCGUAAAAUGUGUGCCUGAUAACUAACUUUUUUCUCUCUUUUUUUUUUUACAAUAAGAAUGAGCACGCACGCACGUACCACUACGCAUGCAUGUUACAUGCACGUAGAUAUACCCUGUAUAGGGCACGUGUGAACUAAACUUGUCUCGCCUCUAGAAUUCCUUUUAGUGGGAGGGGUUAGAAAGGUGGGGUCCACAUGAUGAUGCUCUUCAUUGAAAACUGCUCACAGUAAACUACUUCCUCCGUAUUUUAAUGUAUAACGUCGUUGACUUUUUGACUAACAUUUGACUAUUCGUCUUAUUCAAAAUACGACACAAAGUUCGUGAAUAUCUCAGAUUGGAUAUUUUAACCAACCACAAAGUUCGUGAAACCACACAAUAAUUUGUUGAUAUUUUAAUCGACCGUGUUCUUAGAAACAAUAUGUAAAUCACAAAAAAAGUACGCAAAUAAUGCAAUGGAGAAUUAGAGCAUCCGAUGGUCAUGAACUACCGAUGCGGUAUCAAUGUACCUCCAACUAAUAUUACGACAAUUAUGUCAUUUUUCAUCUCUUAAGAAAAUUAUCCUUUUACCCUUCCUACCUAAGUAUCUAUAGCAAUACUUAAAUACCUUUUAUAUGAUACCUUUAAUUGUGGAGUGUUGGAUCUUUGCUAUUUUUGGAAUGCUUUGGCACAAGUAACUGACAAACCGCAUGCAUUAAUUAUCAUACUUUAUUUUUAAGAAAAAAUGAAAGAUUUUACAGAGGAAACUGCAAUAAUGAAAAGUUUCAAGAGACUCCAUAAUUAGUCUUAUCCAUGCAAGUGGUUGAAGUUCAUCAGAUAAUGUCCUUGAGCCGUUUACCCUUGAGGUUAACAAGGAUGAAAACCUUGUACACUCUCUCUAUGAGAAUUUGUCAAGUUGUUAUCUUACUUAAGGAAAUAUAAAAUUAUGUGUUCACGUUCGCCCUAAAAAGCUUAGAUUUAGCAAAUAAACCAAAUAAAAAAUAUAUAUCACUUAUAUUAGCAUGGGAGACAAUUAUAUAUGAUGGUUUAGAUUAGACGAAGAAUAUUAUUACUUUCAUCUUAAAAUAUAGGUGUGUUUUGUUUCGUUAGGUCAAGACUUUAACCAAUGAUUACUCUACGAUAUAAUUUUAUCACACAAAAUUAAUUUAUUAAUAUAAAAAAACUAAUUGCUUAUGAUAUUCUAAUAUUUUCUUUAUUACACAAAUAAUAUUCUAAUAGAGCAACUGUUGAUUAAAUUAUUGUCUUAACAAAAUAAAAUACGCCUUUUGAAACAUAUGUAGUAAAUCCCUGUUGAAAAAUCGAUUUAAAAAUAUCUAAUUCCGUAUUAAAAAUAGAAAAAAACUGAAAAAUUCGAGCCAAAUACUAUAUACGACUAAAUGAAAAUCAGAAUAAAAUAAAAAUUCAGAGGAAAUCUAGGUUUUGCCAUCGAUAAGUUUUAGAAUCUAUGUUCUAUCAUCAACAAGUACAAGUUCUACAAAAAUAAAUACUAUCAUACAAUCGAAUCAUCUCUUACUAUAAAGUUAUAACCCACUAACUCCUAAAUCUUAAUAUGCAAAAAUGCCACAUCAUCAUCCACUAACAAUCAUCAAAUUUGAACAUAAUGCGAACAAGCUAUAUUAUCUAUUAUUUUAUAAUUAUUAAAUUUUAGAGCUUUUAAAAUGAAAGCAUGCUAAAUCAUCAUCCCACAUAAUUCACAUAAUAUUUCAAUUUAUAUCUUUAUUUUUUUUAUAAUAUGCUAUGUACCUAUAUAGUUCAUCCUCACUUCGUCAAUGUUAUUUCUCUCUUCUCUCAUUAAGUCAUAUCACAUCAAUUGUUUUUAGUGCUUAAAUGAUUAAUCUAUGGUCUAAAUUAUCUCUCACCUUUUCUUCUCUCAUUAAUUAAGCCAUAUCACCUCAACUGUUUUUAUCCUUUAGAUGAUUAAUCUACGGUCCAAACUAUCUCAAUACUUUUCUUCUUUCAUAAAGUCAUAUCACCUUACUUUUACAUUUAAAUCAUCAUUCUAUAUACUAUUUAAAUUUAAAUUAUCAUAGACCACAUUAACUUACGUAAUGUUAUGUUGUCUAGCUAUUUUACACAUUAUUUUUACUUACUGUUAUCAUACUAAACUCCCACAGCAACACGCGGGGUUUCACCUAGUUUUUCAAAGAAACGCAACAACACGCGGGAUUUCACCUACUUUAUCAAAGAAAUGCCACCCUGGUCCUCUUUCUUCAUGGUAUUCCGUUAGCCUAUGCAGAAAGACUUUGCCCAUGUAUGUAUGGUUGUUCAUGGUUUUUGAAAAUUAAACCAAUUAACCUGUCAACCCAAUCCAAACCAAACCACUGUAAGUGGGUCAAGCCGGUUCAUUGGGUUUUAGUUAAAGGUGUAAGAAUGCCAAUGGGUCAAGUUGAGCUUGAGUAGAACAAGACACCAGACAAAACCAGUCCAAUUCGCCCCAAUUUGUGCACUCAUACAUGUGCACUCAUUUGUGGUGGCGACGGUAGAACCGCGUGGAGGUCUCAGUUGUAUUGGUGGAAGAGGAAGGUCCUACCUUCCUUCCGACAGCUUCUGAAGUACAUCCCUAAUUUUACUAUUGUCCAUUCUCAAAUAUGUUUGUUCUUAGAUAUGAACUGAUAUGGUUGAUUAAUCUUACUUUUUCUCAGGAUAGUUUCAUUCGUUUGGUAUCUGACAAUCUGAGGAUGUAAUAAGAAAAGAGAGGGAGAAAGAGAGAAACAGCAUGGAAGCAAAAGUUUAGCUCAAGCCGGUAGCUAUGGUGGUGUAGGUUUGCGUGGUGGCUAAUCAUCAAUGUAGGCGGUGAAAGGUGGUAACUGGUGAAGGAGAGGUGGGAGCAUCUGAGACUAUUUAUAAUAUCUAUCGAUAAAUUUUCUCUAAAAAAAUUGUCAGAUAUAAGUGUAGUGCAACCGUAAUGCAUUUAUAUUGUAGUAUGUAACUUGCAUGUAACUACAGUAUAACUUAUACGAAACUUUCAAAAAUACCAUAGUAACAAGCUACUCUUGUGAAGUGGAGGUUGCAUCAUCAAAUCUCCUCACCCAUUUGCACACGGUGAUUUUUUCCUUCCCUUCUUUCAUGUAUCUCAAAGCAAAUCUAAUAGUUCAAAAUUAUGUGAAAGUCACAUAGAAAUUAUGUUGUAGUCACAUGCAACUUAUAUUGUUUUUACUUUACAAAUGCAUUGUUUACAUCUGACAAAUGUAUUUUUAAGAUAAUAGAUAAAAGAGUGGUCCAAAGUGAAACAUCGGUAAUAAAAUGAUGGCCUAAAGUGAAAUUUACUCUAUAUAAAAUCCAACCUUUGUUUCAACAGAAGCUACAACUACUAAUCACAUUGUUUUUGAUAAAAAGCCAAACAUGAAAGUAUCUAACAAAUAAUGAUGAGAAGACAAAUUUGACCAACAAAAGUGAAGAGAUAUAACUUAUAUGGAAAUCAAUCCCUAAAGCCCUUCUAUAGUCAGAAUUGCUAAAUGGUUGUUGGUAGAAAAUUGAGACCAAAACUUUGAAAAUUUCUAACCUUAGGAUUUUCUUCACAAUUCAUGUUCCAGCGACCCCAACACUUCUCUUCUAUCCGGCGAUGUCCCUGCGAGUUGCGCUUUAGGGUAUUGAGUUGGGGUGAGAGAGGAAAUGGGGAGGGGAAAGAGGGAGAACAUCGUUUGGCUUAAGAGUGAUGACCAUGGAAAAAGGCAGCCAAGCGUUGGGCGAUCGACAUGGGCAGGAGGCGAGGAGCCGGUGCCGAUGAUGAAGCCGUGGGGAUGGAGGAAGGUAGUGGGUCGGUGUUGGCGGCAAGGGCAAACUGAAGCUUGUGCCUAAGAGGAGGAUGUGGUUGGUGUUGGCUAAUCUAGCCAUGGGAGCUGCUAGAGACGUGAACGAUGGCUGGGUAAGGCCACCUCGCCGCCAUCAGCUUGAGGAGGAUGAGAGCUAUUGAUGGCCAAAAGGGUCGGGGCCCGACGGCCCAGCCCACGGCAUGGCCCGAAAGCUGGGCCAUGCCUGGGCCUCUUCCUUAGCACGACCAGGUCAAAUGAUUAGGGAGGCCAAAUAGAUUAGGAAGGAAAAAUAGACUUAUUCUAGCCAUAUAAGGCAUGGCCCAAAGAUAUGAGGGAUUCAAAAUAGACUUAUUUAUACCCAUAUAAGACACAACCCAAGAGAUGAGGGAGGAAAAAUAGACUUAUUCCAAGGAGAACGAUGGGCCGGCCUGUUGUGCCUUCGGCCCAGCCCAGCAUGACCCUUCUUACUGAACCGUGCCUGAGCUGUUGGUGCAGCCCAUGGGCGGGCACAACACUGCCCGACGUAUCGAUCGGGCCGUGCCUUGUCGUGCUCGGACCGGGCCGGGCGGCCCAUUUGGCCAACUACAAGGAAAGCUAGGAAAGGGGAUGAGGCCGGUUGUGGGGCCUUGCUGGCACCAUUGGCGCAUUCUGACCGGCCAAUAAGGCUAGACGACGACAGAGGAAGCGGCGGCAUCAAGUGGACUCUCAAUUGAGUCAUGGCGGCAGGGUAGGAGUGAGGAGGGAGGAGAUGAGGUGUUAGAUAAUUGGGUAUUGCACAAAUGUCAAAGCUAUGCAAUCGUCUUGACUAUAUUCAAUGGAACAAAACUCGUAACAAUUACCACAGAAGCACUUUACUUUUGCUUUUUUUUCUUUUGCGGGGAAUGUAUUAUGCAGUUGUUUCUUAGCUAUAUAUGGGAAAGAAAUAAAGAAUCACAUCACAAAUGCGUUUCACAAUCUACACUUGAUAGAGCUCCUAUAGCAAAAUAAAGAAUCACAUCACAACUCUGAAGUUCGUCGUCAUCGUCGAUCCUCAAUUCCUUGCAGCCUCGCAGCUAGGAGAGUUCGAGGAUCCCGGUUGACCAGUCAACGCCGUUGACCUGCCACCGGCUUCGUCAGAGCCGCCGUGUAUGGUCACGACCACGGUAAUUCCUCCGUCACCGAGCGACGACGACGACUGCGCCGUCGCCGUCGCCGCCGCCGAAGCCCUCGCCUUGGGUACUUCCGCCUCGGCCCGGCAGAGCGGGCACGUGGUCCUGGAGCGCAGCCACGCGUCGACGCACUCCACGUGGAAGACGUGCCGGCAGUUGGGCAGCUCCCGCACCUUCUCGCCGUCGGCGAGCUCCGACAGACACACGGCGCAGUCGGCGGCGGUGGCGCCAGGCCCGCCGCGGUUGGAGCCCUCCCCACCACCGCCCCCGCCGCCGUUCUUCCGGUACGCGGUGACCGGCAGCGCGGCGAGCGCGGACGCGUCCAGCCCGCGGCGACCGCUCACGCCGAGCGAGUUCAACGACCGCAAGAUCCCCCCUGCCAGGCCGCCACGACGACGGCCUCCGCCGCCACCGCCGGGCCGCACCACGAGGUAGUACAGCAAGACGCGGGUGACGGCGAAGACGACGGCGAUCACGAACAGGAUCACGACGGCCGUGAGCAGCACGCGCCCGCUGAAGUUGUAGCUCUGCUGCUGACUCCACGAAUCCUCCGACCUCGCCGCCGGCGGCGCGCCCGACAAGGCUGUAUCCGACAUGACCAAACUAUCCCUUAUCCUCUAAAUCUUCCACUCUUUCUGCUGCUACUAAUCACUAACCUAACUUGCAAGACCAGAGCAAAGCCCUACUACUACUACUACCUCGCCGCCGGUUUAAUCAACACCGGAUAAGCUAACCUUGGGUUAGUAGACGAGCAGGUCAACAUGGGGAUUCCGUCACUGUCAUCACCAACGAGUACAUCUGUACAUGGCAAUUACUUGCUUUGCUUUGUUCAACGUUAGACGUUUUUAGCCUCGAGAAUGGUCGUCCGGUCUCUGUCUGCCGAUUUUGCAUUCGACGAACAGGAGCAGUUAAUGUUGAAAUGAACGAGAUAUUUAAGCGUACUUGGAUGAGACGUCGCUGUUCGGUGUAAUUACCAACCUGCAUCAAGGAAGGGGACAGGAAGGUUCAAUGGAUUGAGGAGUCAAAAAACUCUUCUGCCGACUGUCUUGUGGUGUGCAACCGCGGACCGGAAUUCGAGUGUUUUGAGAUGCCUUUGGGCCUUGGCCGACAAUAAGGUUUCUGUGGGCUGUACGGUCCGAGUGUUGGGCUGCGCAGGCAAUACUCGCGUGCAAAGUGGGCCGGCGGGGCGACCCAUGAGGGUGAAUCUAUUGGGCUCUUCUGCGGAGGCUGGGUUGGGCUGGAACGGGUUGGGACUUGCCUUUUCGGAGUGCCGCCGGUGACUGGCGUUUGGAGGUUUCAGUGUUUCACCCAGACUGAACGGGUCGGGAUCGAGAACGCUAAUACGCGAUCAGUCGCGCGCGUCCUCUCUCGCGCGACUGGACACGUGUCGCGCGUGGAGAGUGGCACAGGCGGUGGCACGGUUUUUUUUUUUUUUUCGGUUUCCUUUUUUUCCGCACAUUCCUUUUUUUUUUGUUUGUUCUGUUUUUUUCCGUGUUUUUUUUCGAACGGUUUCUUUUCUUUUUCGGUUUCCUUUUUUCCCGCACGUUCCUUUUUUUUUUUUGUUUGUUCUGUUUUUUCCGCGUUUUUUUUUGCACCGUUUUUUUCUAUCCAUAUUUUUUUUCCAGUUUUUUCGGUUUUUUCAUAUGUAUGUGUAAAAAGUUUGUAUACAUGUAGGCAAAGUUUGUAUACACGUAUAAAAAAAAGAUACGGAGAGAAAGUUUGUAUAUGUACGUAUACAAAGUUUGUAUACACGUAUACAAUCUUUAUAUACGUGUAUAUAAACUUUGUGUAUAUACAUAUAUAUAAAGUUGGUAUAUUUUAUAUACAUACAUAUAUAAACUUUAUAUACAACGAAUACAAACUUUGUAUUUGUAUACAUCGUAUACAAAUUUUAUAUUUGUGUAUAUACUUUUUAUACAUAUACACAAAAAAUAUAAAUAUACAAUAUAUAUAUAUAUAUAUAUGUAUGUAUGUAUGUAUGUAUGUAUGUAUGUAUGUAUGUAUGUAUGUAUGUAUGUAUGUAUGUAUGUAUGUAUGUAUGUAUGUAUGUAUGUAUGUAUGUAUGUAUGUAUGUAUGUAUGUAUGUAUGUAUGUAUGUAUGUAUGUACUGACCACGCGUCGCGCGCCGCGCGCGACUGAUCGCCGAUCAGCCAUCCCCGGUGGGGAUUGGUUGGUUUUCUAUCCUUUAAUUCCCUCCGUGUUUUUUCUAGGUUAAUUUCAACUGCUUCGCGUUCGGUGAUCUCUUUGUUGGCUUCUGCAGGAUUUAAUUUACUUAAGGACCUCUGCUAGAAGGUGCAUAUCAAUGCCUAUACGUACGGAAGAUCGACGUUUCAUGGAGUUAGUUGUAAGUAAUCUCCCCUAUAAUCCCCGUCCAACACAAGAAACGGGUUCACAUCCCCUACCAUUAUAACAUUAUUAUUAUAAACACUGUCAGGUGUGGCAAUAGAAGGGUGAGACCCACACUAGUGACUAUAAUGAUAGUGAGAUUAUGGUAGAGGAUCCUCACCCAUAAGAACCACACAAUGCCAACUUAUAUAUGAAAAAAGUCUUAUAUACUAUCUAUUAUAUUAUUAAAACAGUCUUGAAAGAAGGCACCACGUUCGUUGUGGGGGCUAGAAAUUUCCACAUUAAUCAAAAGAAGAGUCCAAGUAGAAAUACAAUCUAAAAUUAGCUGAAAUUUGAAAUUAAAAAUAAGUAAUAUUGAAAGAAGUGUCCAUAUAAGAACCCAAUACGAGAUUAACUAAAAUUCAAAAUAAAAAUAAAAUAAAAUCCGAAAUUAGAAAAUAAAAGGAGAGUCGAAGUAGGAAUAUAAUUUAAAAAUAACUAAAAUAAGGAAUUAAUAAUAUUUUUCUAGAAAAUAAAAAAGGAUUUUCAACAAAAGUUAUGUUCGAUUUUUAGAAUCCCAAUGGCAAUAAAUAAUAGGCGGCUGAUAGACCGUAGAGGAGUAUAGUGGCAUCGUUUGGCAGGACUUUAAAAAAUAUAAAAAAUAAAACCCAACAAGUCAAUAAACUCUAAAAAUUAUAAGGUCUAAUUUUUAAAGGAUCAGAACUUCUAAAAAGUAAAAAAAACAAUGAUAAUCAUGUUCGGUUUUAAAUCUCAAUGACAAUAAAGAAGGGAGGCAGCGGGCGAGCCAUAAAGGAGUACAAUAACAAUGCCGCUGACGGUUUGGCGGGACUUAUAGAAAGUAAAAAAUAAAACCGAACGAUAAUUAUGUUCGAUUUGUAAAAUCCUACUGACAAUAAAGAGAAAAGACAGUGGACGGGCCAUAGAGGAGUAUAAUGGCAGCGUUUGACGGGACUUCUAGAAGUUAUAAACACGAAACCCAACGAGAUAAUAAACUCAAAAAACUAUAAGAUCCAAUUUUAAAAGAUUUCAAGAAGAAUGAUUAGAAAUAGUGAUAGACCGAGCAAGGAAAUAAAGAAGGAUAUGACAGAAGUAAGGGGUAGCAAUUGGUGUGACUUUUAAAAACUAUAUAAUUAGAAAAACGGGGAAAGCUAUUUAAUACUGAAAAAUAUAUAAUUUUGUUUGGGUGCUAGCCGCGCAAUUGCGCGGGCCACCCAGCUAGUUAUUUUACUAAAAUAAAGUUUUUUAUUUGUAUACUGUCUUUAGCAAAGAAGUUUUUCUUCUUAGGGGCGUGCAGGCGGUUGGGGCGGGCAGUUUCCCUCCCCAAGGGACCAUUCAAAAGAAAAAUAAUAGAUAAUUUGAACUAAAAAUGACAAUAUUUAUGAGAAAAUAAAAAUAUAUAAACAUUGUACACAUAACUUGUAUAGAAAAUAUCUUGUAUAAAAAGAAUAUUUUGAUUCGAAUCUAAAUUUAAAUCGGGUGCAUAAACUUUCGGCGUAUAAAUUUUAAGCAUAUAUACUUUCGGUGUAUGAAUAAACUUAGGAAAAAAAAACUUUGUACAUAUAAAGACCUUUGCGGAAUAAUAUCAUCAAAAAUGCAACCCAAGCAUUUAACAUGGACAUGAUACUGAUUACUAUACAACACAAAACUCUCGGUUGUACUUGGGAUUCAAGUCGGACAUACCACAGGUAUAAACUCUAAUGGUGUGUUUGGAUGGUGGGUUUUGGGUGGAUAAGACAUGACGGUCCCUUUUUUUGGGUGUUUGGUUGGUGGGUGGAGGUGGGAUAGGACGACCCGGAGGGGAAUAUUCCUCCCAGAUGCCGGAUGGAGGGAUCCGGCCGAUUUGCCUGGACGCAGCCGCCAGAGUGCCCAGGCGAGCUGGACGACCAACCGAGGUGGAUCGCGUCACCCCUCACCACGCAAGCGAGCGAAACGAUGGAGCGAAUUAGGCGGCGGCCGGCGAGCAAGGAGAUGCGCCGGUGGCUGGCGAGAAGAGCAAGCCAGCGGCCGGCGAGAAGAUGGAGGAUGACUUUUUUUUCCUUUUUCUUGUUUUUCUCCUUUUCCUCUUUUUAUUUCUUCGUGAUUUUUUUAUUUCUCUUUAGAUUUGUUUAUUUGUAUUAGAUUUAUAAUAAUUUUGUGGCUUUUAUGAAUAUGAAGGGGUAUACUCACCGCCUCUAAUGAAGGGGUGAUUGUAACCAUUCAUCCUUCCUAGCUCUCUAACCAAACAAAAAAAUAGAUCACCAAAUCCACCUUCAUCCCUAGAACCAAACAAAAAACUGAUUCGCCAUAUCCACUCAACGAAACAAAAAAUAGAUCGCCAUAUCGAUCAAAAUCUGGGCCACCAUAUCCCAUCCAACCUUGACCGUCAACCAAACGCACCCUAAAUCAUGCACAUAUCGGUUGGGCAUGGUAUUGUGGGUUGGAUUUUUGCACACUCACCUGUCACCACUGCACAUAGACACCCCCACUCUCUACCCCAACUUAGUAAUAUAUGUGUAUGCAUAGUAUUUGUGGAUACCACAAUUUCAAUUCUAAUAGGUCUAGUUUUUCCAUGACUAUCAUAAGGGCCAAAGUUAGGGAGGGGCGGAGGGAGGCCUGGCCUCCCCCAAUGAUGCAUAUCUAUCAAUCUAUCUAUCUAUUAUAUUAUUAAAACAGCUUUGAAAGGAGACACCACGUUCGUUGGGGGGCUAGAAAUUCUCACAUUAAUUGAAGAAAAAGAAAAGAAGAGUCCAAGUAGAAAUAUCAUUUAAAAAUAGCUGAAAUUUAGAAUUAAAAAAACAAUAUUAAAAAAGAGUCCAUAUAAGAACCCAAUACGAGAUUAAUCAAAAUUUAGAAUAAAAAUAAAAUAAAAUCUGAAAUUAAAAAAAAAAAGAGAAGAGACCAUGUAGGAAUACAAUUUAAAGAUAAUUAAAAUUUGGAAUUAAAAAUAAGCAAUAUUGAAAGAAGAGUUCAUAUAAGAAUCCAACUCAAGAUUAAUUAAAAUUUAAAAUAAAAAUAAAAUAAAUCCGAAAUCAGAAAAAAAAAUAAAGGAAGAAUUCACGUAGGAAUAAAAUUUGAAAAUGACUAAAAUUCGAAAUUAAAAAUAAGCAAUAUUGAAAGAAAAGUCCAUAUAAGAAACUAGCACGAUAUUAAUUAAAAUUCAAAAUAAAAAUUAAAAUAAAAUCAUAUAUUAUAAAAUAUUAGAAAGAGAGUUCAAGUAGGAAUACAAUUUUGAAACAAUUGAAAUUGGAAAUAAAAAAAGAAAUAUUAAAUUAAUAGUCUAUAUAGAACAUAAUAUGAGAUUGAUUAAAAUUCGAAAUAAAAAUAAAAUAAAUUCAGAAAUUAGAAAAAUAAAAAUAAGAGCUCAACUAGAAUACAAUUAUAAAUAACUAAUUUGUAGUAAAAAAAACAAAGACUGUUGAAAUAAGAGACAAUCUAGAACACAUGACGAAAAUAAUUAAAGUUCUAAAUAACAAAUAAAAUAAAUUUUAAAAAUAUAAAAAUAAUUAUAAUAGUUCAAGUAAGAAUAUAAUUUAUGAAUAAAAGUUAUCAGAGUGAAAAAUGUAUAAUUUUAAAAAAAAAAGUCUAUCUAGAACACAACAAUGACAAAUGACAAUAAAGAGGGGAGAAGCAAUAGGCCUGUAAAUGAGGAGAGUGCUGGCGGUUUAUGGGGUAUCUAAAAACUAUAAGGAAACCCCAAAUAGAAUUCGAUUAAGAGGAGUGACAAUGGGCAUGCCAUUAAGCAGCAUGGUCACGACGGUUGGCGGGACUUAUGGAGAGUAAAAAUAAACUCCAGUGAUUAUCAUAAUCGAUUUUUAAAAUCUCAAUGAUAAUAAGGAGGGGAGGCAGCGGGCGGGUUAUACAGGAGUAUAGUGACGAUGCAACUAACAAUUUGACGAGACUUAUAGAAAGUAAAAAAACACACACAAUAGUUAUGUUCAAUUUUUAAAAUCCUAGUGACAAUAAAGAGAGGUGGCAGCGGAUGGGCCGUAGAAUAGUAAAUUGUCGAUGUUUGACGAUACUUCUAAAAUUAUGAAAACGAAACCCAACAAGACAAUGAACUCUAAAAACGAUAAGACCUAAUUUUUAAAGUUCUAAAAAGCAUGAAUAGAAGUAGUGGCAGAUUGAGUAAGCACAUAAAAAUGUGAUAAAGGAGUAAGAGGUAGCGACUGACGUGGCUUUUAAAACUAUAAAAUUAUUAUAAUCACGGGAACGAUAAUUUUAAAUAAAAUCAUGUGUAAAAAAGGAUAGUUUUAAAUUGAUACUAGCCGCGCAAUUGCGCGGGCCAUCCAACUAGUUCUGUUUAUAUUAGAACUUGUUAAUAAUUCUCUAACUACAUUACACGAUUAGUUUAAGCAUUUUGGUGUAACCAUUUAAGCUUUCAACACUUAAGCAUUUUGGAUUACUAUAUUUAGCUUAAGUUGGCUCCCCUCAAAUCUUAAAUCCUACCUUCACCACGGUCUAUCAUCACACAACAUGUGAUUUCUUACCAUGGAUUGGAUUGUCAUCGUAUAGGAGAGAAAGAAGGGAAUGAUAGGGUAAACAGCCGGAGGUAUGGAUGACAUGUUGUUUUACUGUUUAUUUUAUUUCAUUGUUGUUUUUUUUAUCGGUAUAGUGGCAUCACUGUUAUUCAUGUAUUUAGGGUGUCGUAGGCUCUCCGGACCUUCCAUUAUAAUUGAGAGAUGAAGUGAAUAAUUCAAGUCAUCAAACAAGCAUAAUGAAAUAUCCGACGCCUCGAGAGAGGAAUAUUGGAGAUAUUGCUAGGCCUUUAGCCUGCCAGUCAACUUCAGCCUGAGACGUGCCCGUCAAACCACUCGAAGGCGGCGACCAGAUGUGUUACACAUUCAGGAGACUUGACAAAAAUGGCUAAAGUUCUACAACAUCUCAAAUAUUCCUAACUCAUACUCAUGUGAAUCUAGUUCCCAGGAUGUGCACUAGAUUCACACUUUCAUCUCAAGCAUGAUUAUACAUAGCAAACACAAAUAAGAUGAAAGCGAUUAUAAACUACAUCUACUUUAGUUACAUUGGCCGACCGGCCAAAUAAAUAAUAGAACAGCGGAAACUUGUCUACCCAAUCCACAAGCACACCGACUAGGGGUUUACCCAUUAUGUUCAAGUCCUAGAAGAAGCAGUCGAUAACCCGCAUCACUCAAAGACUAAGUCUAAAUCCUGCAAGCAAAAGUUAAUUCAACAGCAAGAGUCAGUACAUUAUUAGAAAUAAUGUACUGGCAAGCACCAAGACAAGCCUAACACCCUACUUGCAAGGUAUAUAAUCAAGGAAGGCAUAGUAUGGUUCUUUUUAGCAUAAAGCAAGUUUUAUUUGCAUAAAACACAUUCAAAACGGAUUUGCUUUCAAAUAAAAUUUCAGCAAGCUAGUACUUAGCAUAUGGGCAUCAAAGUAGGCAUUAAUCAUGUAUAAAUAUUCACCUCAUUGCCAUCCAUGGCAGCAAGGAGAUCAUUCUCAAAUCUCAUCACAAUUUGAAGGUAAAUUUCAGCAUUUAGGAGAAUAAACACAAGUCUAUACUCAAUACAUAUCCACACGCCGCUCAUGACCGCGAGCACGGCUAAUCGAUUAGUUUUAACUCUGCAGAGUUUGUACACUUUACCCACAUGAUGCGAAAUAAUAAUCAUGCAAGAGCAUGGCACGCGAUACAUAAGUACCCGAUUUAUUACCCGCAACAAAGCUUUUCCAAAAUUCAUGAUUUAGCCUUACACCAGCACGAUACGUGUUCCUCCAUCCUAGUCAUACUGGAAAUAUGACCUAGAACCGUUAAGUGGCGGGCCCACGCCUUGAACUUAACGCCGUGGUGGCGGACACAACGGGAACCCACCCACGUGGCAUAAUACCAUUGUAUUGGACAGACUUAGUCACCUAAACUACCACGUCGUGGUAAAUAGGAAGUUCCUCUGAGUUAUCCGAACUCAUACACACCGGCCUACCAGAAUGUAAGGCUAAACCAUAAAUAAUUUACUAAGCUUGGACUAUCCCAUACUAGCACAUGUGGUUGUACUGUAUACGAAAUGAACUGACAUUGAGUGAAGUCCUUAGGUCGGUUUGGGCGCACUCUCCCCCUAUCGGUACACAACUAAUCACCAUAUGUGCACCACUUGAGGCCCAAACCUAAAAUCCAUGCUUUCCACCAUUUUAUUUAUCAAAAUCACAAGUAUUAAAGUUCUGUCCAGAUUAAUUAAAAAUCAAUUUUCAUGUUUGAAAUGAGCCCAUAAUGACAAGGAAGACCAUUCUAAGCAUGGCUAUGCUUUAUAGUAACCUAGUGUCACCAAAACUCAUAUAUAAAGUGGUAUAGCCAUAUUGUUCCUAAGGUUAGGAAUGAGGAAUAUGGAUAUAUGUGGAGUUAAGGUGAUAAUGCAAAUAAUAGGAGUUUAUCUAACAAGUUUAACAAAAUUUUAAUUUAUUAGUGUACAAUCGACAUGCAAGAUUUGCAAACAUUUUCAAUAACCUCCAAAAGAUAGGUUCAAAGUGAUCAAAGAGAGGGAGGUGGGACUUGCCUUGCAACUGGAAAAUGUCAGCACCUAAAUCACUUCUUCACCGAUUAAGCAAUCAUCUAUACAAAGUACACGUUAUGCAAUUAAACACCGAAAUAUGCGAAAAAUCCAAAAUGCUCUAAAAUGGAUGAUUUGUGCACAGUGAAUAGGUACUGGUCUAAAAUUAAUUUAGGUGAAAGAAUUUCUAUUUUAUCUCAUUUUAUUUGGGAGUUAUGAAUUUUAGAAGUUUCGUCGGUAUAGUGUAGGAUUUACUUAGUUACUAUUGUGAAAUGCUGUUGUAAGGUGAUUCUUAUUAAGUUUAUGUUUGCUGGGGUGAAGAUAUUUGUUUUCUAAGACUAACACAUUUGGUUUCAUAAUUUUUAGAGUUAAUAUGAAUUAUUUAUGUAUUUUACAAGUUUUAACGUGUUCUAGGCAUAUAUUCCCUAUGUGUACAUGGCUUUGGAGAUUUAGAUCCAGAACUUGCUCUAACUUGCUAGUGUUGUAUAAAAUGAGUAUUUUAGUUAACUAAUCUAAUCUUAGUUUAUAAAAUUUUAGUGUUCAAAUUACUUUACUUCACAUUUUAUAAGCUAGGGGAUGUUCUAUGUUAGAAACUUAACAUAUUAAUCUGGAGAUUAUUAUAUAAGUUAAGGAUACUAAGUUUUGGUGGAAGGGGAUGGAUCUAUGCCUUCACUGGUUCAACAAGUUUUAUUUGGAUUUAUUUGGAGCUACCAAGCAUAUAUAUACUUUUUCAUAUGUAUUGUUUAACCAUUACUAUGUGUUUAGUACCUAUUCUACCAAAUUAAGGUUCAGAGCCAUGGUCUGUAAGAGGGUGCUAUAAUUCACUCUACUAGGUUGAAGUAUAUUACUUGCUGGUUCUAUAGAAAAUUUGGUUCACUUCAUUUAGACUAUAGAUGAAUUUUCUACAAAUGUUACAAUUUAAGGUAUGCUCCAUGUUGCUUAUUCCUUACUUAAAUACUUAGGGGUUUUCAUUAUACUGUAAGUAUGUCUUUUUAUUUUAUAACAUUGAAGUGCACAACCCUAUGAUUCUACUGAAUUUGGGUUUACUCAAAAAGGAUCUAAGAUGAAUUUUAUAUAAACUUCUAAAGUUCAGCUUAUGUAAAACUAGUCAUUUUAAAGGUAAUAGUUUUAGAGGCAUUCGAUGUAUAGUAUGUAUACUAUUUCAUUUUGCUUUAUAGGAGAACAUAAGUUGGUGGAUCUGUAGAAACUGAGUUUGCUCCAAAAUGAGUUGAAAUGAAUUUUGUAUGCAUUUUAUAAAUUUGUGCAUGCUUUAUGUGUGAUUUAACUUGGAUAAAUUUUAGAGGCUAAAUUUGUACUGUGAGUGCAAGUUUUUAUUCCAUAACACUAUAGUUCACAAUUUGGUGAGUUGACAGAAAUUUGUAUCAUCUUAAAAUGAGCUAUAUUUAAUUUUAUAUGGAUUUUACAAGUUUUAGGUACUUUCCUUUUAUAAUUUCAGAUUUUUGUUUCCAAGGGGUCCACUGUCAGUGAAAGAUCAAUAUACAAAAAGAUCCCUGAGGUUUCUAAGAAUCAACCCGCCGACCUAGCCUCAUAUGUCAGUGAGUUGAAAAGUUGCACAUUAAACCUUAUAGUUGUUUAAAUUCUCGAAACAAGGUCCCUGACUUCUUUUCUCACGCACAGAGGCAGAACAGCCAUGGCUGAGCUCGAUCUCGAGCUCACCGGCGACAAACGAUGGCUCGUUUGGGGGUGCAACCAAAAUACAAAAUGAAGAUCAUGUUAUUGCGAUUCCAUUCCUCUACUUUUCUCGGUCAGUGGACAUCGGAGUAACGCCGGCGGCGAGUCCGAAAGGAGGAUGUUUUCGGGUGGUGAUGCAUGUGCUUCUACAAUCAUGUAUUGGUUAAUUGGGUGCAUGCAUGUAUGUUCUAUAGGCGGAAGGGUGCUCACCGAGAUGGUAGACAUGGCUGGGGUAGCUAGGUUUAUGACGGUGGCUCGUGUAACGGCUCGGCGGCGGCAAGAACCUCCGGGUGAACGGCGAUGGCUCAAUCAGCUCCAAGAACUAUCAUGCAUGUGUGUCCAUGAGGUUAGAGAGGCCCCAGAGAUGCUACUGAUGCAUGGAAUUGGGUUGGUACUCACCGGAGGGGGUGGAUUCGGCAACGGCGACGGUGACCGGAGGUGGAGAAGACGGUGGACGAUCUCCACACUCGUAGCACCAUCCUUCGAGAUUCUUGAGGGGAAAUGGAGAGGAGGUCGAGGCGAAGAAGCUGGCGCGACAGCUUGGCCCGGCUUGGUCCAGAUAAGCGGGAACGGCGAUGAUGUCGCUGCGGCGGUGCACAGAGCGCGCUCUAGAGCGACCAUGACAUGGCGGUGUUCCCGCUGCUGUAGAAGAUGAAAUGGAAUGGGAUCAAAACCAAAGUUGUUCGUCAUGGUGAGAUGAGAAUGGAACGAGUAUGAGUUAGAGAUGAAGAGGGCUCGAUAACGGUUGGCGAUGUCCCUCUUCUUGGCGGCCGGCGACGAAAGAGAGGUGGAGAGGGAGAGCUGGAGCUUCCUCCCUCGGUUGGAUCGGCACUGGGAUGGUGGGUGAAGAAUGGCGACGCAGCUGGGUGGAGGUGAAGCCUCGGUUCGGCGCUGCCACGUCGAGGCCACGCGUCGUACACAGCCGGCGCCAAUCUCUCUCUCUCGGCUGUCUUUGGUCCGGCUGGAAGAUUUGCACAGGGUGAGGACGAGCCAGAGUGGCUGCCAAGUGGGUACAGGUCAUGGCAAACUAAGCUAGGGUGAGAGGGUUGGGCAGAAACGUGGGUGAACAAAAGGUUUGAAUGAUUUUAAGGAUUAUUUCUCUCUCCCACUUUAGUAUUUCAAUUAUUUAAUUUGUGGGUAGAAUAAUUUAGUGUGGAUUUUUCUGAAGGUAGAUGAAGAUACCUAGAUUCCAUUUUCUUUGGUUGCACUCAAAAAUUAUGGAUAGAUUACUCACAGAAAUUAGAGGAAUAUGGGUUCUUUGGAAACUAGUUCGAAUUUUUAGGAGACCUAAACAGAGAAGAUAAAUUCUAGAAAAAUUAUUUUUAUUCAUGAUAAAUUACCUAGUAUUUGAAUAAAUUAUUUUACUUAUACACUUUUAUGCAGUUAAAUGCACUUUUAGACAAAGUAUGGUUUUAGCCGAUUAAGAACUACAGUUAAUCUAGUUUUUAUUAGUUUGACUAAUUUAUUUGAGGUACCAAAUUUAGUUAUUAAAUUAUACCAAAAUUACAGUGAGUUGUAUGUGUUGAGUAGAGCCUACAUGAAUUUUCCCAUGAUUUUAUCUUGCAUGAAUUAUUUUAGAUAAUUCGCAGGACUUAUGUCUUAUAUGUGUUUCCCUUUCCUAAAUGCAUGAAAAUGUUUAUAAAAGUUAUAUUUGGACUCUCAUUAACAUGAGGUGAUGUUGAUAUGUUAGAAUUACAGUUUACCUUACACAUGUCAUAAGCUCCUUCCCUAUUUAUGCAUAAGUUUACUUUAGUAUUAAAUUAAGAGAAUGCUUAUAGAGAUGAUUAAAAUAGAAUAUACCCUAUAUGAUAUAAUUUAUUUGUUCACUUUCAUGUUCAUGACAUGUCUUCAGAUGGAUGUCCAAAUUAGUUUUGUGAGGCUUGACAUUAGCCAUGUUGAUUUUUUUUAAGGUGUAUGGUUUCUGUGUAUUAUUUUCCAUUAGUUAGCACUAGGCCCUAAUGGUUUAGUUGUUUGUCUAGAUUGCAAUUAUAUUCAUGAGACCUAUUAUGAAAUGCAAAUCGAAAAUCCAAAUGCAUAUGAAGGACUCAAGUCAAAAUAUGAUUUAUGCAAGUAUGCAUGCUUUCACUUGGGUUGCAUCCAAGUCCUAGGUUAAAGGUGAAAAAGUUUUUAAUUUUUUCUCAAAUUUUAUUCUUGCAAGAGUUGGAUCAACUCCACCUAGGUUUAAAAUAGAAAUUUUUGGUUUACAAAAUUGAAGAACUUCCCUUUCAACUAGUUUUGAUGGAAAUUCCUUAAUCCUAGAAUUCAGGUACGUUACAUAGGGUCUGUUUGGUUCUCAGCCACACUUUACCGUCAGUUACCACACUUCAUCUAAGGUGAGACGAUCAAAUUCUUAGCCGCAACUUAAUUACUAAGACUAAAGGAAUCUUACCACAUCUUUUUAAGUCAUUAAAAUAUGAUAUCAAAUUCUUAGCCAUAACUUACUAAGCCUAAAGUAUUUUUUUCACACUUUUAUAAGUUAUUAACACAUGAGAUCCAAUUUGUUGGAACAGAAUCUUGACACAACUAUGAUUAUAACCAAACACCUAACAAGUUGAUUAAAUUUUAUCAAAUCUUAAACGUGACAAACUAUCUUCUGUUAAACUACCAACAAAAUUCUCUUGUUUUCAUCCAUCUAACGCGUGGAAUUGGGCACGAGAUCCUCCAUCUGACGUGCGGGAAAGAGAGGAGGGACUGGGAGCGGUGAGAUUGGGAGUGGGCAAGGGGGCGCGCUCUCCCGCAUAUCAACAGUGAGAAGAUUUCGGGAAGGGAAGGAGUAGGGGAUUUCUUGAAGUGGUUUUUUUUUAACUAAAAUCCCUUCAAAUUGGUUUUAGGGAUGGAAUAGGAGGUUGGUGAUGCUCUAAAUGUUGCAUCGUCCAAAUCACUCUAAUUUGGGUCCAUGCAUGGUAAAAUUAUGUACUACUACUAUACAUUUUUUUAAUUGAAUGACCAAGAACUAAAGGCAGAUGAAAAGUCCGACCAUAAUUAAAAGUGACGUGAAUGGUGAGACGUUUACCGUACACUAGGAACUGAACUCCGGUUUGGCCAAUUUUCACCCGUCCAAACUUUCCCCAUCUCUCCAGUCCACCUUUUUAAUCACACUGCAGCUGCAGGCUAUAGCUAGCUAGUACGAUCGACUUGGGGAAGUAUCCGGUGCAAUCACCUAAUUCGGUGCAAUAAUGCAACUUUCAUCCUACACCGUUGGAUCGAGAAAUGGACGUUCGAGAUUCGUCCACGUCACCCUGAGUUAAAAUUUAACUCGCAGAUCAUCUCGGACGUCCAUUUCUCGAUCCAACGGUGUAGAAUGAGAGUUGCAUUAUUGCACCGAAUUAGGUGAUUGCACCCGAUACUUCCCCCGAUCGACUUCUCACUCUCACUCUCACUCACCUAUAGGGAAGUGGAUUUUUGUCCCCUCGAGAGGACAUCCACUCGUUUUAUACAUGUCAUUUAAAAAGUUAUCAAAAAAUUCAAAAAUAUUUGUCAAGAUUGAUCAAUAUAUAAUAUAUAUUUUUGCAAACAUGCGAGUUAAAAUUCGACUAAUACAAUUCAAAAAAAAUAAAUUUGACCGUGAAUUAUGCGUUAUAUUCAUAGUUAAAUUUGUUAUUUUUAUUUCUACGUGUAUAAGUUGAAUUUGAAUUUGUAUGUUUGUGAAGUGACAUAUCAUAUACUGAUCUAUGCUACUAAUUUUUUUUCAAUUUUUUAGUAACUUUUUAAGUGACAUGAAAAAAUGAGGGAUAUCCUUAAGGGACGAAUCGAGUUUUCCCACCUAUAGCUUCUCUCUCCCUUUCAACUGCGCUCUGCACGUCUUUUACUCUGAUCCCGUUGUCCGUUGAUGCGCAGCCACCAGCCAGCUGCGACGACGCCCCCCGGCCGGCCCUGUAAACUGUGCUGGUAUCGUGAUACUUUCGUCGUCGCGAGAGUUAAGGCGUCGUCGUCCCGUUGCUCCCCUGUGACAUGCAUGACAGCGAUUCGAGAGGUCCCCCGGCUACACGAAAAUAUGCAUCUUGCUGUCAACUGAAAGCCGUGCUAAACUGUACCUACCUGCAUGCAAUGCAAGCAGCUGCUAGCUACUAGGAGGGAACCAUGUUCUUGUUGAGAUGAAGCCGCGCAUGAUUGAUAUGAUUUGGCACUACGGCGAUCGACGGAGAGAACGUACUACGGGGGACCAUCUACCAGUCGGAUGCAUGGAAGCAUAGAUGCCAAAAAAAGCUUGGACCCCAUUGCCCUAUGUAACCCUACAGGUUGAGCUUUGCCUGUAGAUCUGAUGAAAUGAGGGGGUUUUUACCAAAGUGUCAAAUGGUAGAUUCCGGCUCGCUUCUUUAAGGGGACAGGGAGCACAUUUCAGCCCAUUUCUUUUUGCAGGAU
rnacentral:lncRNA from 1 species